rnacentral:rRNA from 1 species
UACGAAGGGGGCUAGCGUUGUUCGGAAUCACCGGGCGUAAAGCGCACGCAGGCGGAUCGUUAAGUCAGGGGUGAAAUCCCGAGGCUCAACCUCGGAACUGCCUUUGAUACUGGCGAUCUUUGAGUCCGGGAGAGGUGAGUGGAACUCCGAGUGUAGAGGUGAAAUUCGUAGAUAUUCGCAAGAACACCAGUGGCGAAGGCGGCUCACUGGCCCGGUACUGACGCUGAGGUGCGAAAGCGUGGGGAGCAAACAGG